AGUGAACGCUGGCGGUAGGCCUAACACAUGCAAGUCGAACGGCAGCACAGUAAGAGCUUGCUCUUACGGGUGGCGAGUGGCGGACGGGUGAGGAAUACAUCGGAAUCUACUUUUUCGUGGGGGAUAACGUAGGGAAACUUACGCUAAUACCGCAUACGACCUACGGGUGAAAGCAGGGGAUCUUCGGACCUUGCGCGAUUGAAUGAGCCGAUGUCGGAGUAGCUAGUUGGCGGGGUAAAGGCCCACCAAGGCGACGAUCCGUAGCUGGUCUGAGAGGAUGAUGAGCCACACUGGAACUGAGACACGGUCCAGACUCCUACGGGAGGCAGCAGUGGGGAAUAUUGGACAAUGGGCGCAAGCCUGAUCCAGCCAUACCGCGUGGGUGAAGAAGGCCUUCGGGUUGUAAAGCCCUUUUGUUGGGAAAGAAAAGCAGCAGGUUAAUACCCCGCUGUUCUGACGGUACCCAAAGAAUAAGCACCGGCUAACUUCGUG
rnacentral:rRNA from 1 species